rnacentral:lncRNA from 1 species
CUAACGAUGGCGGCGCCGGGAAGCGACCGGCUGCUGGGCUUAAGGCGGGAGUGACCGCUUAACCAGUGAGGGAAGCACUGAAGAGCGCCAGUCGACGUGGGUGCGACAACUCGCGGAGUCUUAGGAGCAAAACGUCUGGGGCCUGCGAGCCAGGACCCUUCUGAAGCCUUAGGUGUCUAUCGGCGACGUGUACGGUCACUGCAGCUCCGGAGCGCGGAACCCUCAGCCAGGAGGCGCGGCUGGUCGGUCCCAGGUCCCGGCCUCCGUAAUGAGAGCCCGGAACCACUCUUUGUGCCGCAGCUUCGCAGAUUCCUAUAGGCAAUGGAAACUGAUCUCAAUUCCCAGGACAGAAAGGACCUGGACAAGUUUAUUAAAUUUUUUGCCCUCAAGACUGUCCAAGUGAUUGUCCAGGCUCGGCUUGGUGAAAAGAUUUGCACUCGUUCAUCAUCUUCUCCAACGGGUUCAGAUUGGUUCAACUUAGCAAUCAAAGACAUCCCAGAGGUUACACAUGAAGCAAAGAAGGCACUGGCAGGACAGCUGCCUGCAGUCGGGAGGUCCAUGUGUGUGGAGAUUUCACUUAAGACUUCUGAGGGAGAUUCCAUGGAGCUGGAAAUAUGGUGUCUUGAAAUGAAUG